UACGUAGGGGGCAAGCGUUGUCCGGAUUUAUUGGGCGUAAAGAGCGUGUAGGCGGCCAGGUAGGUCUGCUGUGAAAACUCGAGGCUUAACCUCGAGAUGUCGGCGGAAACCAUCUGGCUAGAGUCCGGAAGAGGAGAAUGGAAUUCCCGGUGUAGCGGUGAAAUGCGUAGAUAUCGAGAGGAACACCAGUGGCGAAGGCGAGUCUCUGGACGACUCCUGACACUGAGGCACGAAAGCGUGGGGAGCAAACAGG
rnacentral:rRNA from 1 species